UACGGAGGGUGCAAGCGUUGUCCGGAAUCACUGGGCGUAAAGGGCGCGUAGGCGGCUCAUGAAGGCUGUGGUGAAAGUCCGGGGCUCAACCUCGGAUCGGCCGUGGCGACUCGUGGGCUGGAGCACUGUAGAGGCGGGUGGAAUUCCGGGUGUAGCGGUGAAAUGCGUAGAGAUCCGGAAGAACACCAGUGGCGAAGGCGGCCCGCUGGGCAGUGGCUGACGCUGAGGCGCGACAGCGUGGGGAGCAAACAGG
rnacentral:rRNA from 1 species